AACUGUAGGAGGUGAUUUUCAGAUAUUAAAUCCUUAAAACUCACAAAGCUUGGCUGAGCCACAAGAGGUCAAUAUUUAAUAUUCUCUUCAUUUUAACAGAUGGCAGAAUAAACCAUGGAGCAGCUGUGACUCUCAUGACCAGGAGCUGCUAAAAGAGAUUUUUGAAAAGCUUUCAGAUGUCAGUCCUGAGGUUGCUGCCUGUGAAUAAGAGAGAAGCCAAGGAAUCCAUAAAAAUGUACAGAAG
rnacentral:lncRNA from 1 species